rnacentral:rRNA from 1 species
CCUACGGGUGGCUGCAGUGGGGAAUAUUGGACAAUGGGGGGAACCCUGAUCCAGCCAUGCCGCGUGUGUGAAGAAGGCCCUCGGGUUGUAAAGCACUUUCAGUGAGGAAGAACGCCUGGUGGUUAAUACCCAUCAGGAAAGACAUCACUCACAGAAGAAGCACCGGCUAACUCCGUGCCAGCAGCCGCGGUAAUACGGAGGGUGCGAGCGUUAAUCGGAAUUACUGGGCGUAAAGCGCGCGUAGGUGGCUUGAUAAGCCGGUUGUGAAAGCCCCGGGCUCAACCUGGGAAUAGCAUCCGGAACUGUCAAGCUAGAGUGCAGGAGAGGAAGGUAGAAUUCCCGGUGUAGCGGUGAAAUGCGUAGAGAUCGGGAGGAAUACCAGUGGCGAAGGCGGCCUUCUGGACUGACACUGACACUGAGGUGCGAAAGCGUGGGUAGCAAACAGGAUUAGAUACCCUGGUAGUC